AGUGAACGCUGGCGGUAGGCCUAACACAUGCAAGUCGAACGGCAGCACAGUAAGAGCUUGCUCUUACGGGUGGCGAGUGGCGGACGGGUGAGGAAUACAUCGGAAUCUACUUUUUCGUGGGGGAUAACGUAGGGAAACUUACGCUAAUACCGCAUACGACCUACGGGUGAAAGCAGGGGAUCUUCGGACCUUGCGCGAUUGAAUGAGCCGAUGUCGGAUUAGCUAGUUGGCGGGGUAAAGGCCGACCAAGGCGACGAACCGUAGCUGGUCUGAGAGGAUGAUCAGCCACACUGGAACUGAGACACGGUCCAGACUCCGACGGGAGGCAGCAGUGGGGAAUAUUGGACAAUGGGCGCAAGCCUGAUCCAGCCAUACCGCGUGGGUGAAGAAGGCCUUCGGGUUGUAAAGCCCUUUUGUUGGGAAAGAAAAGCAGCAGGUUAAUACCCCGCUGUUCUGACGGUACCCAAAGAAUAAGCACCGGCUAACUUCGUG
rnacentral:rRNA from 1 species